rnacentral:rRNA from 1 species
ACGUUCUUAUCUUUAUGAUAAGAAUCAGUAGGCUGUCAUACUUCCAAGAAAAGCUCGAACUACUGUAACACAUCAAGUACCUGUACCGUAAACCGACACAGGUGGGUUGGUAGAGUAUACCAAGGGGCGCGACAUAACUCUCUCUAAGGAACUCGGCAAAAUGACCCCGUAACUUCGGGAGAAGGGGUGCCAAGUAACUCAAAUUGCUUGGUCGCAGUGACCAGGCCCUGGCGACUGUUUAUCAAAAACACAGGUCUCCGCAAAGUCGUAAGACAACAUAUGGGGGCUGACGCCUGCCCAGUGCCGGAAGGUUAAAGAAGUUGGUUAUUCAUUCGUGGAGAAGCUGACGACUGAAGCCCCGGUGAACGGCGGCCGUAACUAUAACGGUCCUAAGGUAGCGAAAUUCCUUGUCGGGUAAGUUCCGACCCGCACGAAAGGCGUAACGAUCAGGGCACUGUCUCGGAGAGAGACUCGGUGAAAUAGACAUGUCUGUGAAGAUGCGGACUACCUGCACCUGGACAGAAAGACCCUAUGAAGCUUGACUGUAGCUUGGAAUUGGGUUCGGGCUCUUCUUGCGCAGCCUAGGUGGGAGGCGUUGAAGGUUUUCUCUUGGGAAAACUGGAGCCAACAGUGAGAGACCACUCUGGAGGAGCUAGAAUUCUAAUGGCGUUCCGUGAAGCCGGACGCUUGACAGUUUCAGGUGGGCAGUUUGACUGGGGCGGUCACCUCCUAAAAGGUAACGGAGGUGUGCAAAGGUUCCCUCAGGCUGGACGGAAAUCAGCCGUAGAGUGUAAAGGCAGAAGGGAGCUUGACUGCAAGACCUACAAGUCGAGCAGGGGCGAAAGCCGGCCUUAGUGAUCCGACGGUUCCAUGUGGAAGGGCCGUCGCUCAACGGAUAAAAGUUACUCUAGGAUAACAGGCUGAUCUUCCCCAAGAGUUCACAUCGACGGGAAGGUUUGGCACCUCGAUGUCGGCUCAUCGCAACCUGGGGCGGUAGUACGUCCCAAGGGUUGGGCUGUUCGCCCAUGAAAGCGGUACGUGAGCUGGGUUCAGAACGUCGUGAGACAGUUCGGUCCAUAUCCGGUGUAGGCGUUAGAGCAUUGAGAGGAGCCUUCCAUAGUACGAGAGGACCUGGAAGGACGCACCUCAGGUAUACCAGUUAUCAUGCCAAUGGUACACGCUGGGUAGCCAUGUGCGGAGUGGAUAACCGCUGAAAUCAUCUAAGUGGGAAGCCCACCUCAAGAUGAGUGCUCUCCAUCAGGUCACAGGAAGACUACCUGUUUGAUAGGCAGAAGGUGUAAGGCUAGUAAUAGUUUCAGCUGAUCUGUACUAAUAGACCGAUCGAUUUU